AACACUUUGAAGUGCUCUAUCUGCACUUGUCUGGCACCUUUGGACUGGCAUAUGGCACCCCAUUUGCAUAAUGUGCUGUAAACAACAUACUUAAUGAUUAGCGCAUGACAUGCCUAAUUAUGUCUUAAUUAUGUUUAGUCCUUUAGUGCUAUAUAUUUGAUUAAAAAAGGAGAAUUGACUUUCAAACUUCUGGAAAUAAUGACACAACUAGAAUCGAUAUAGAAUAAUCUUUCUUCCCCUUUUUAUGUUCCCAGAGACUUGAGGUUUAACAGAAUAAGAGAAAUUCCUGAGAGCGCCUUCAAGGAACUCAAGAAUUUGAACACUCUGUACCUGUACAAGAAUGAUAUUCGUGCACUAGAUAAGCAAACGUUUAAAGGACUCAUAUCCUUGGAACAGCUAUACUUUGAAAACCCCAAAAUUCUGACUGGAACAGAAGAAUAUAUGGGUAAAACUUCUUUUGCUUACUCAUUGUAUGAAAGUCCUACAUUAGAUCAAUUUUGGGUUUAUCCAGAUUGUCAAUGCCGUUCAUCUAGAGACUACCAGGAAUACACCUAUAGUUACACAAGUUGAGUUUAUCGCUCUUUGCAGUGAAGGAGAACACAUGCCAUGGGGAGUCACAGGGAGUAUCAAUAAAAAGAUGUUAGAAAGAACAUUUUAUAGAACUUGGACUUUGGGUGGGUGAUUUCAAGGGGGAUAAGAAAGCAAAUAUUUGCUUUAAAUUGGAUGUCAGAAAGAGUGCACAAGUCUAUGACUGUGUAUCUUAAUAAAUCUUAUAUACAGUGAGGAGAGAAUAGAAUGAGGAUAAAGCUGUACUUGGUAAGGACAUAGCGUUCACUCAAUUUGGCCAAAAGAAGAGGGUGUUUAGUAUUUGUGGGUGGCACAGUAACCUUGUAUUUGUCUGUGCUUAAAAAAAAAUUAUGAAAUAGCCUUGUUUUGUCCCAUUUUAUCAAGGUCUCAGGGUAACCUUGUCUAAGCUUGAAUUCUGUGAGAUUAUGUUCAGUAGGAGAAUACCACGGCCUACCCGUGAGUGCCAGGCCAGCUUCUGAAUGUCAGGGAUGCUUUUAUUUUCACUUCCUUUCUCAAGAUAAAUUACAGCCCAAAAUAUACAUCAUUAUGGUGGUAAAGAUACUUCAUUUGGGACUUUAUUUAAAAAUCCUUCCAUCAUGAUGACUACUAACUUAUUCUCAGUACGAAAAGCAUCUGUGAUGUACAGUCAUGCACUGCAUAACAACAUUUUGGUCAAUUAUGGACUGCAUAUAUAAUUGUGGUUCCAUAAGAUUAGUACCAUAUA